UUAAUUCGAUGCAACGCGAAAAACCUUACCUACCCUUGACAUGUCUGGAAUCCUGAAGAGAUUUGGGAGUGCUCGAAAGAGAGCCAGAACACAGGUGCUGCAUGGCCGUCGUCAGCUCGUGUCGUGAGAUGUUGGGUUAAGUCCCGCAACGAGCGCAACCCUUGUCAUUAGUUGCUACGAAAGGGCACUCUAAUGAGACUGCCGGUGACAAACCGGAGGAAGGUGGGGAUGACGUCAGGUCAUCAUGGCCCUUAUGGGUAGGGCUACACACGUCAUACAAUGGCCGGGACAGAGGGCUGCCAACCCGCGAGGGGGAGCUAAUCCCAGAAACCCGGUCGUAGUCCGGAUCGUAGUCUGCAACUCGACUGCGUGAAGUCGGAAUCGCUAGUAAUCGCGGAUCAGCUUGCCGCGGUGAAUACGUUCCCGGGUCUUGUACACACCGCCUGUCACACCAUGGGAGCGGGUUCUGCCAGAAGUAGUUAGCCUAACCGCAAGGGGGGCGA
rnacentral:rRNA from 1 species